GAUUUUAUUAAUUUGAAAAGCGGAGUUUUCACCGAGAGAGAGAGAGAGGUUCCAUCCUCUGGUUUACUCCACAAAUGAUUGUAGCAGCCAGAAUGUCUGCCAAGCAGAAGCCAGGAGCCUUGAGUUUUCUCUAGGUCUCUGGCACCCAAGGACUUGGGCCAUCUGGCUGCUUCUCCACCUGCAUUAGUGGGGAGCUAGACAGGAAGUGGAGCGGCUGGCUGGCGGGGGAACUGGUGUCCAUCGAGGAUGUUGGCCUCUCAGGCUCAACGCACUGCACACUGGCUCUCCAUCUAGCAUUUUUAACAGUUGGCAGCCCACUUGAGUGAUCUGCGACUGUAAUAAUGACUCAGUUAACCUAAGUUGCAUUUUAUUAUGCUGCUCUGCAUUUUAUUUGCCUAGGGCAGUUUUAAGGUGUGGCUCCCUGGCACUGAUUUUUAUCUCUUACUCACAGAACUGCCAUUAAGCAAGAGCAAGAUAGGAAGCCAGGCAGCUUUGGGUCCUUCCUGACUUGAAUAUAUUAAUAUACACCUUGGGCUUUUAAAAACUGCUACCUGAAAUUUUUUAAAGCUAAAAAUCACUAGUUAUUAGAACCAGGCCUUCUUAAGGAUUUUGCAAGCUAAAAACCACUAAUUUAUUCUUCACUAAUUUAUUUUCGUAUUUACUUAUGCCUAUCACAUUUGGCUUUUUAUAUAAUGUAUAGUUACGUGACAGAAUAUGUGAAGUGGAAAUGAUUUAAGAAAAGGAAGAUGAACAGAAAUUUGCUUAAAAUCAAUGAGCUAUUUACCCAUUUUCUGUAAACAAGGUUUAAAUAUGGGGUCUUGCCUAUCAGAGAUAACCAUGAUCUAUAGCUUUGAGCUAAAAAAAAAAUAUGGAAUUUGAUUGACUUACAAAAACCAGAGAGAAAUCUCAAACUAGCAUAUACAUUUCAUUUAGAAAGGGGGAAUAAAUCACUUCAGGGUAAUCAGACCUUACAAUGUAUACUUUCCUUUUCAUUUUUGUCUUUCUGAGGAACAGCUAAGUUAUCUUUGAAGAAACUGGUAACACCUCAAGUGGUUCAGUAGAAGUUUUAUUACUGGUUAAUUUAAAAAUAGUUUUACUUAUGUAGUGGUAUGAUAAGUCUUCUAAAAGUUUAUAGGAAAUGCAUAUUCAUGAGGAAACCAUAAAUUUCAACUUUUUAUGCCAUAUUACGUUUAAUUUUAAUUUCUAUGGUCUUUUUGAAGGAUCCUUGUACUUGGCUGUUUUAAGUAGAAGCAUAAACGUGUCCGCUUAUUUGCUGAAUUUUUCAUGAGUAGCUGAGACACAGUUUUGAAUAAGUCUAGAUUCAUUGUUUGGAAAUUAUUGGCUGUUUUCUUGGAAUCACUUAAGUUCUAGAUAAUAAGCUUUCCCUAGUUUUAGUUUGUCUUUUGAUUAUUAUAAUUCAUGAAUGUAACAGAGCCAAAAUAAUGACAUAGUUUUGGAAAUGUAGAAUCUUGGUAAAUACAUAUUUGCUGGUAGAAGGUGGAGGGCAUUCUGACUUUUAGUCGGUGUUGUCAGGUGCCUGAGGAAGAAGAACAUAGUGUCCUCUUAGCGAUUAAAUGGAAUUUGGUUCAUUCAGCAGAUUAAGGUUCUGUAAUGGUUGUUACAUUCUAGAUCAUUCUAUCAGAACAUGGGUUGGGACAGGAAGCAUUGCUGCAUUUAAGAGCAAUUUUUCAGUUUUUGUAGCUAGGAAGGGCUGACAAUGGGUCAGCUCACAGGGCCACUGUAAUGCUACUGGCUGAUUGAGGGGCAACAUUUAAAGGUUACAGAAAACAAGCAAAGAAAUGACAUCAAAUUUUGCCUCUUAAAAAGGUAGGUUGGUAGCCAUGCAAAAAUAGUUCUGUUUUUAUUUUUUAAAAAUUUAUAAUCGGUUUUUUAGACUGAAUCUUUUUGUUAGUGACAAAUUCCUGGCAUUCUGUUAUUUCUUCCUAGUUCCCAUGUCUUGCCUUAAUUCACCGUGACAGCCUUACAUUUAGAAUACACAGGAGUCCUCAUUUUGAAAUGCCUAUCUUAAUUUCUUGUGGUCACAAACUUUUACUGCUGCAUUGCCUGUUCUCAUUCUUUUGUGGAUUCGUAUUGGUCAUUUUAUGAUAUACAAUUUUUAAAUCUGAAGUCAUUUUCAAGAAUAGACAAUUAGCUACAUUCUUUAAUCUCCCCGAGACUAGGCCCAUUAGGAUUUGGUAUUGUAAAGUGUACUAAAGGAAUUUCUUAUACUUAAUAUUUUGCAUGAGAAGAACAAUCUGCUUGGCAACCAUAAUGCAGAUACCGUAUUACUAGGUGUAUUUCUAUGUGCUUUGGUCAGUAAUUCCCUGUGUCCUGUUGAACUUAAUUUGUAGUAGUGUCCUUGUUUGCUGUAUUGGAUUUAUGUUUGAGUUUUUAUACAGUCCCCACAUAUCUUGAAAUUUCACUGGGCAGGAAUCUCCCAGAGGACAUUGUCAUUGGGGAAGCAUUCAAUAAAUAUACUAAUUACAGGACUUAAUUAA